rnacentral:rRNA from 1 species
AACGAACGCUGGCGGCAGGCUUAACACAUGCAAGUCGAACGAGAUCUUCGGAUCUAGUGGCAGACGGGUGAGGAACACGUGGGAACAUCCCUUUCAGUUCGGAAUAACGUUGGGAAACUAACGCUAAUACCAGAUACGUCCUUCGGGAGAAAGAUUUAUCGCUGAAAGAUUGGCCCGCGUCUGAUUAGCUAGUUGGUGAGGUAACGGCUCACCAAGGCUACGAUCAGUAGCUGAUCUGAGAGGAUGAUCAGCCACAUUGGGACUGAGACACGGCCCAAACUCCUACGGGAGGCAGCAGUGGGGAAUAUUGGACAAUGGGCGCAAGCCUGAUCCAGCCAUGCCGCGUGAGUGAUGACGGCCUUCGGGUUGUAAAGCUCUUUUGUCCGGGAAGAUAAUGACUGUACCGGAAGAAUAAGCCCCAGCAAACUUCGUGCCAGCCGCCGCGGUAA